AGGUACGGUCAUCGAAAAAGGUUGUAAUUUUUAUCUGCUACAGAUGCUGUUGGGAAAUUUCUGUACAUUUACCAUUUUGCCAUUGUUAGUGGCUGUGCAUGUUCAGAAUGAGUAUGAUCCUGUUGUUUUAAAGGAUUGCUAUUCGUACGAAAAUAUGGACCAUUUCCUUACCAUGGGAACCUUGGAACAGAUCAGAUGUUUACAGAAGUAUAUGUAUACCUUUAGUAAUGGUAUUCUCCGACACGAACUGAAUGAUUUACUUCAAAUCCCUGUCAGCAUGGCGUAUUUACGGAAUGGUGGGAAACAAAUGUUGGACAUCUUACCAAUAAUUGAAAGGAAAACCUAUGAUCUUCGUCCAGAAGCGUUCAAACACCUUAUGGGUUUGAUAAAGAAUCGGGCCAAAAGGUCAGAGAGACAUAAAUUAAAAAUCGGUCAUACACACCAUCCACCAUCCGAUCUCGAGCAGAUUGCUCAGGACAUUGUUCAAGAUUCACCUGCGCCUAAUAUUACGAAACCGUUCCCCAUUCAUUGGAACUCAACAGACACAAGAACGAUUCGUAAUGCCUCGGCUGAUACCUCAAGUUCUUUGGACCAAGCUGUCAAUGUCGAAAACUUAGUGAAACAUCUAAAUAAACAUCGCUCAUGAGGAUUUCAUAAAUCUGAUCGACUUUCAACAAGUUGGUACCGUGCCUACUUGCGACAAGAUGUAAAAUAUUAAAAUCCGUGUAUAUUUUAAAAUGUGCUGCGACAGAAAACAUUAAUAUGAUACAUUAUCAUGCUUAAGGCAAUUGCAAAUUAUGUAAUUACUUAUUUAUGGUCGGGAUGAUUUUAAAAAGGAGUAUUAAUAAAAUUACAAAAAAUGCAAUUAUCCACUUAAUAAAUAUUUAAUAAAUAUAAACAAAACAAAAUAAUAAA